rnacentral:rRNA from 1 species
AACGGCGAAGUGAAGCGGCAAAAGCUCAAAUUUGAAAUCUGGCACCUCUGGGUGUCCGAGUUGUAAUUUGGAGAGGAUACUUCGGGCAUGGUUGCAGCAUAAGUCCCUUGGAACAGGGUGUCAUAGAGGGUGAGAAUCCCGUCUUAAGUUGUUAACCAUGUCCAUGCGAAGUUCCUUCGACGAGUCGAGUUGUUUGGGAAUGCAGCUCUAAGUGGGUGGUAAAUUUCAUCUAAAGCUAAAUAUUGGCCAGAGACCGAUAGCGAACAAGUAGAGUGAUCGAAAGGUUAAAAGCACCUUGAAAAGGGAGUUAAAUAGCACGUGAAAUUGUUGAAAGGGAAGCGCUUGCAACCAGACUCGGUCACAGGGGCUCAGCAGGCAUGCGUGUCUGUGUACUCCCCUGUGUUCGGGCCAGCAUCAGUUCUGGCGGUUGGUUAAAGGCCCUUGGAAUGUAUCGUCCUCCGGGACGCCUUAUAGCCAAGGGUGUAAUGCGGCCAGCCGGGACUGAGGAACGCGCUUCGGCACGGAUGCUGGCGUAAUGGUUGUAAGCGGCCCGUCUUGAAACACGGACCAAGGAGUCUAACAUCCACGCGAGUGUUCGGGUGUCAAACCCGUGCGCGCAGUGAAAGCGAACGGAGGUGGGAGCCCUUCAGGGUGCACCAUCGACCGAUCCUGAAGUCUUCGGAUGGAUUUGAGUAAGAGCGUGGCUGUUGGGACCCGAAAGAUGGUGAACUAUGCCUGAAUAGGGUGAAGCCAGAGGAAACUCUGGUGGAGGCUCGCAGCGGUUCUGACGUGCAAAUCGAUCGUCAAAUUU